GACGAACGCUGGCGGCGUGCUUAACACAUGCAAGUCGAGGGCACUUCGGGGGCAACCCUGGAGUGACCGGCGAACGGGUGCGUAACACGUGAGCGACCUUUCCUCGUGGUGGGGGAUAGCCGGCCCAACGGCCGGGUAAUACCACAUAGGGUGCUGACUCCGCAUGGAGACGGCAGCAAAGCCCUGGAGCAAUCCAGUGGCGCCACGAGGGGGGGCUCGCGGCCUAUCAGCAGGUUGGGGGGGUAAUGGCCCACCAAGGCGACGACGGGUAGCUGGUCUGAGAGGAUGGCCAGCCACAUUGGGACUGA
rnacentral:rRNA from 1 species